AGUGAACGCUGGCGGUAGGCCUAACACAUGCAAGUCGAACGGCAGCACAGUAAGAGCUUGCUCUUACGGGUGGCGAGUGGCGGACGGGUGAGGAAUACAUCGGAAUCUACUUUUUCGUGGGGGAUAACGUAGGGAAACUUACGCUAAUACCGCAUACGACCUACGGGUGAAAGCAGGGGAUCUUCGGACCUUGCGCGAUUGAAUGCGCCGAUGUCGGAUUAGCUAGUUGGCGGGGUAAAGGCCCACCAAGGCGACGAUCCGUAGCUGGUCUGAGAGGAUGAUCAGCCACACGGGAACUGAGACACGGUCCAGACUCCUACGGGAGGCAGCAGUGGGGAAUAUUGGACAAUGGGCGCAAGCCUGAUCCAGCCAUACCGCGUGGGUGAAGAAGGCCUUCGGGUUGGAAAGCCCGUUUGUUGGGAAAGAAAAGCAGCAGGUUAAUACCCCGCUGUUCUGACGGUACCCAAAGAAUAAGCACCGGCUAACUUCGUG
rnacentral:rRNA from 1 species